UACGGGGGGGGGCAAGCGUUGUUCGGAAUUACUGGGCGUAAAGGGUUUGUAGUGGCUUGUUAAGUCAGACGUGAAAUCCCUCAGCUUAACUGGGGAACUGCGUCUGAUACUGGCGAGCUUGAGUGCAGGAGAGGAACGCGGAAUUCCAGGUGUAGCGGUGAAAUGCGUAGAUAUCUGGAGGAACACCGGUGGCGAAGGCGGCAUCCUGGACCGAGAUUGACGCUGAGGCGCGAAAGCCAGGGGAGCAAAGCGGG
rnacentral:rRNA from 1 species